AUGACUCUCAGCAACGGAUAUCUCGGCUCUCGCAUCGAUGAAGAACAUUGCGAAAUGCGAUACUUGGUGUGAAUUGCAGAAUCUCGUGAACCAUCGAGUCUUUGAACGCAAGUUGCGCUCGAAGCCAUUAGGCCGAGGGCACGUCUGCCUGGGCGUCACGCAUCGCGUCGCCCCCUCGCAUAGUGCCUCAAUCAUGGGGCGCAUUUUCAUCGUGGGGCGGAUACUGGCCUCCCGUGCGCCUCGAGCUCGCGGCUGGCCUAAAUGCGAGUCCACGUUGAUAGAUGUCGCGGCAAGUGGUGGUUGCAACUCAACUCUCUUUGCCAUCAUGGCUAUGGCCCAUCGCGCGUCCAGACUCCAGGACCCCUUCGCGCUCAGGUGCUCCGACCGCGACCCCAGGUCAAGCGGGAUUACCCUUUGAGUUUAAGCAUAUCAAUAAGCGGAGGAAAAUAAACUUACAAGGAUUCCCUUAGUAACAGCGAACGAAUCGGGACUAGCCCAGCCUUAGAAUCGGGCGGCUCCGUCGUCCGAAUUGUAGUCUGGAGAAGCGUUCUCAGCGGCGGACUGGGCCCAAGUCCCCUGGAAGGGGGCGCCGGAGAGGGUGAGAGCCCCUUCGUGCCCCUGUCUACGAGUUGGGUUGUUUGGGAAUGCAGCCCAAAUCGGGCGAUGAAUUCCAUCCAAGGCUAAAUACGGGCGAGAGACCGUUAGCGAACAAGUACCGCGAGGGAAAGAUGAAAAGGACUUUGAAAAGAGAGUCAAAGAGUGCUUAAAAUUAUCGGGAGGGAAGCAGAUCGGGGCCAGUGAUGCGCCCCGGUCGUAUGUGGAACAGCGACGAGCUGGUACGCCGAUCGACCCGGGGCGUGGACCAGCAUGGAUUGGGGGGGCGGCCAAAGCCCGGGCUCUAGAUACGCUUGUGGAAUGUCGUCUCCGCGAUUGUGGCAGGCAGCACGCGCCUCUGGCGUGCUUCGGUAUCUGCGCGCUCCGGACGCUGGCCUGUGGGAUACCCAUUCGACCCGUCUUGAAACACGAACCAAGGAGUCUGACAAGUGUGCGAGUCAACGGGCGAGUAAACCCGUAAGGCGCAAGGAAGCUGAUUGGUGGGAUCCCCCCGAGGGGUGCACCGCCGACCGACCUUGAUCUUCUGAGAAGGGUUCGAGUGUGUGCAUACCUUUUCGAGACCCGAAAGAUGGUGAACUAUGCCUGAGCGGGGCGAAGCCUGAGGAAACUCUGGUGGAGGCCCGCUACGAUACUGACGUGCAUAUCGUUCGUCUGACUUGGGUAUAGGGGCGAAAGACUAAUCGAACCGUCUAGUAGCUGGUUCCCUCCGAAGUUUCCCUCAGGAUAGCUGGAGCUCGCGUGCGAGUUCUAUCGGGUAAAGCCAAUGAUUAGAGGCCUCGGGGACGCAACGCCCUCGAACUAUUCUCAAACUUUAAAUAGGUAGGACGGCGCGACUGCUUUAUUGAGCCGUGCCACGGAAUCAAGAGCUCUGAGUGAGCCAUUUUUGGUAAGCAGAACUGGCGAUGCGGGAUGAAUCGGAAGCCGGGUUAUGGUGCCAAAAUGCGCGCUAACCUAGAUCCCACAAAGGGUGUUGGUCGAUUAAGACAGCAGGACGGUGGUCAUGGAAGUCGAAAUCCGCUAAGGAGUGUGUAACAACUCACCUGCCGAAUCAANGAUAACGCUCAAUCUACAGCUCUCGUGAGUGUAAAGCGGUCGUUAGGAAAUAUAUAACCCAACCUGGGUUGGGUGUCGAUCCCACAGGGAAUAGCUUGGCCAACAAGUAAGCAAAAUUACUAAACUUUUGGUGCAAGUCUCGUAAGAAGGGGGAGUCUUGUCGUGCAAGUAAUGUAAACAAAAGCUGAAAAUAAUAAAGUAAAGAGAGAUUGUUACGUAGAUUGUAAACAAUGAGAAUUGAAGCGUUGGGGUUAUGUCCACCUUCUGAGGUAUACGUCUCUAUUGGCUAUGAGUGUGUAGAGUCUUGACAUGCAAUUGCUUAUAGAGAAUUGUAGUCGAUGGUAAAUCCAAGCAUCUCUCGACCUAAACAAGGACUAUUUCACUUUAACUCUCUCGAGCUUAAAGCGUGUCUAACGGUACGAAUUCUCCAAGAGGUUAGUCCAGUUAUGAUACUAGCUUUUUAAUAGGAAAGGGUGUCCUACUACCUUGACAUUAUCUCCUCUCCAGACAAAUAACCUUUCUCUCGAACAAUUUAAAUGUUAGACUGGCGUAUUCUUGCGUUUGCAACCGCAAAGAAUGUGGAUUAAGAUGAAGAGAAUAAUGAUAUAAGCAAUAUACGUGUCUCGAACUCACAAACUCACAGCAAUAGAUAGUAACUCAUUCGGCUUCCAUAACCCCAACAGAGAAGUUUAGUUACCCAUGAAUGCGAAGGAGAUCACGAUUGACAUUGUUUUUAUAUCACAAUAUUGAGUAAUGGCGUUUAGAUCAAGUGAUAGGCGUGAGGCGUGAUUCCUUAGCAAGUAACGUUUCUCUUGUUGCGGAAAUUAAGAAUUGAAUAGAUGAAUAGAAGAAGAAAAAUAGAAGUAAUGGAAAGAUUAGAAGAGUCGUAGAAUUGUUGUGGUGCAAGAAGAGAGGGAUGGAAGAAUGUAUUAUGGUGAGGGAUGAAUAAAAAUCUCUAGCAUGAUAGGGUAUUUAUAAUACCCAUAUCCUACUCCUACUAAGCUAAUGAAAUAAAUAACCAAAUCCUACUAGGCUAAUGGAAUACUUAACCCAAGUGUACUAGGUUAAUGUAACAUUAUCAUAAUCCAAAUAAACUAAUGAAAUACAUAACCCAAUUGUACUAGGUUAAUGUAUCAUUGUCCAAAUCCAGCUAUGUGUCUGUAAGUCCCCAAAGUCUUCAGAAAUGCUGUUUUAGCCCGGGACAGAUUUUCCAUGCAGCAGUUUUGGUCCUUAGGCGUCCAAACUCCCUUUCCUUCCUUCGUGAGCUUUCUUUUGCGUCAAGUAAGCCAUAAAAUGCUGAAUUAUGCAUCAUUUAUACCUGAAACUUUACUAAUCAUGUUCGUUAGCUCAUUUAUAGGAAAAAGGACUAAAAGUGCAUGAAAUAUAUAGUUUGUUCUCAAAACUAGGCUAAAAUAUGGGCAAAAUAUAUUGAUAUAGGCGUGUAAAUUCGCCUAUCAUCAACACCCCACACUUGAAUCUUUGUUCGUACUCGAACAAAAUAUCAUGUCCCUCUACACAUCAACUUUAUGGUUCUUACAGCAACAACACAAAACAUUCGUCAAGACAAGCAC
rnacentral:rRNA from 1 species